UACGUAGGGGGCAAGCGUUGUCCGGAUUUAUUGGGCGUAAAGAGCUCGUAGGCGGUUCCGUAAGUCGAGUGUGAAAAAUCUGGGCUCAACCCAGUGGAGCACUCGAUACUGCGGUGACUAGAGUACGGUAGAGGAGUGUGGAAUUCCUGGUGUAGCGGUGAAAUGCGCAGAUAUCAGGAGGAACACCAACGGCGAAGGCAGCACUCUGGGCCACUACUGACGCUGAGAAGCGAAAGCAUGGGGAGCGAACAGG
rnacentral:rRNA from 1 species